CACGUAGGCACCAAGCGUUGUCCGGAAUUAUUGGGCGUAAAGAGCUCGUAGGCGGUUCGGCAAGUCGGGUGUGAAAACUCAGGGCUCAACCCUGAGCUGUCACCCGAUACUGCUGUGACUAGAGUGCGGUAGGGGAGCGGGGAAUUCCUGGUGUAGUGGUGGAAUACGCAGAUAUCAGGAGGAACACCAGUGGCGAAGGCGCCGCUCUGGGCCGUAACUGACGCUGAGGAGCGAAAGCAUGGGUAGCAAACAGG
rnacentral:misc_RNA from 1 species